GAUGAACGCUGGCGGCGUGCCUAAUACAUGCAAGUCGAGCGAACGGACGAGAAGCUUGCUUUUCUGAUGUUAGCGGCGGACGGGUGAGUAACACGUGGAUAACCUACCUAUAAGACUGGGAUAACUUCGGGAAACCGGAGCUAAUACCGGAUAAUAUUUUGAACCGCAUGGUUCAUAAGUGAAAGACGGUCUUGCUGUCACUUAUAGAUGGAUCCGCGCUGCAUUAGCUAGUUGGUAAGGUAACGGCUUACCAAGGCAACGAUGCAUAGCCGACCUGAGAGGGUGAACCGCCAAACUGGGACUGGGACACGGUCCAGACUCCUACGGGAGGGAGGCGUAGGGAAACCUCCGGAAUGGGCGAAAGCCUUACGGAGCAACGCCGCGGGAGUGAUGAAGGGCUUCGGAUCGUAAAACUCUGUUAUUAGGGAAGAACAUAUGUGUAAGUAACUGUGCACAUCUUUACGGUACCUAAUCAGAAAGCCACGGCUAACUACGUGC
rnacentral:rRNA from 1 species